GCCUGGUGGUGGCGAUCAUCUAAUCCAAGUCACUGGGAGGCUGAGGUUGGUGGUUCGAUUGAGCUGAGGAGCUCUGCAACCGGACUAUGUUGAACGGGUGUCCAUGCUAUGUUGAAUUUAUGGUGGUUCUGGGGAGCCUUGGACCACCAGGUAAAUCUGAUGAGGGGUCGGAUGGGCCCAGGUCGGAAACGGAGCAGGUCAUUUAGUUGCCGCUAGUAGUGGGUUUGCAUCCGUGAAUAGACGUUACUGUGCAGCCUUGGCAAAACAGCGGUACCUAAUCUUUU
ensembl:misc_RNA Metazoa_SRP Metazoan signal recognition particle RNA